rnacentral:lncRNA from 1 species
GACGAACCCGGUGCUCCAGGCGAUGAGGAGGGGCGGGGCGGGAGCAGGAGACCUGAGUUUCUCCAAGGGUGGCCCGAUCCCAGAUCUCUGGGUCCACGGAAGACUCCCCGUGGACGCAAAGGAAGGGACUCCACCAGGGCGCCAGCGCGCCUGCUUGCAGGUCCAGGUCUUGGGAGAGCAGGGGACAGCGGGAGAUGGGCUAGCUCGGGGCGCCCAGCGGCAGGUGCGGAGCGCUAGCCCUGGCUUCCUCUCACCUAAGUGUGAGCUGAUUAUUCAAAUGGGCUGCCCGGGGUCUGGGGAUUGGAGGCCCGCGCCAGCGCACCGCGCUAUAUCACCAGCCGCUCACGUCAUUGCGGCACUUGUCCGCUGCGAGGUCCACACCUCCUCCUCCUCCUCCUCCUCCUCCCCCUCCUCUCGCUCUCCCCCCGCCCGCCCCCGCGCCGCUAGCUUCCCGCCGCCUCCCGGCACCUCUACACUGCCAGCCUCAGCCUGCACCGGCAGCCCCGGGAGCGCGGAGACGGAGUGCACGCCCGACGGCGAGCCUCGGGUUCCGGCCUCCAGGGUUCUUCGGCCCCCUCCUCCGCCAGCCACCUUCCCGCCCACUCCCAGCUACCUCCCGCGGCAGGCCGCGGGAGAGAGAGGAAGUGGAGCCCAGAGAGGCAGAGAGGGG